CUUUACAAAGCCAAACAUCUGGGAUGGAUGAUUACAAGCAACACAAUGAAAUUGCACCUCAGCUGCAGUAUGUUCAUUCCUGAUAUAAGAUUCUCUUAAUCCACAAUCAACAUGGCACCAAUGAAGACAGACAUCACAUCCAACCCAACUACAAGUAUUGGACGCCAUGUCAAAUUUUGAACAUACAAGACACAUACAAGCACUACAAAAACCAUUCUUCUUUGAGCAAGCCUUGCACUCACAAUCUUCCGCAGGCAGAGAAGUCUGGCACAUGAGAUUUCUGCAUCGUAGGUUCAGAAAGAUCUCAGCUAAAUUAGAAGAUGGAAUUCUGUCAU
rnacentral:lncRNA from 1 species